CUCUUCAAGUUCCCAAUUGAACCAAUCACAACACAACAAACGAAGCAAAAUGAAAUUCGUUCUUGUUCUUGCGAUGCUACUGGCCGUUGCCUACGCAGUGCCUAGCGAGGAGAUCGCCUCCCAGUUGGCUGCCAUUGGCGAAGCCAUCGAGAACAACCCGGAGCUGGCCAACGGAUGGCUCGGCAAGGCCUGGAACUGGGUGAAGUCCAACAAGGAUUCGCUCGGCCAGAUUGCUGGAGGAAUUUUGAGCUUGGGAUAAUCUAUUUAUCGCAUCGAUUGGAACUCUUGAAUUCUUUAUAGUAAUGAUUAUGUGAAAACAUUGAUCAGCGAUCUGUUGACCAUCACUUUUGUUAAUAGUGAAAUAAAUAUUCGUUGAUUCAAUUACAUAUUAUA